GCCUGAGUCUCCCGGAGGAGUGGGACGACAGCCCAGAGACCACUGAGGCUGUGGCGCUGACUCCGUGUGACACAGCGCCGCAGGGCUGGGGGAUGGGAGCCCGGGAGAAGCUGAGUGCCGGGUGCGUGAACAUGGGCUGGGAGUCUGGGAUUAUUGGAACCUGCAUGGUGAGCAGGGCCAUAGCAGAGAUCGGAAGUGGGGCAGCUGGACUCGAACCAGGCUCUCCAACAUGGGACGCCUCGACCUGGGGCACCGCGGUGCCCGCUCCCUGGGUUAGCACCGUUAGCAGGGCUGAGCUACAGAGACAGAGAGAGAAACCUUCCAUCCGCCGGUUCAGGCCCCAAAUGCCAGCAAGGACCAGGGCUGGGCAAGGAGCUUCUUCCCGUCUCUCACGAAGGUGCA